GACGAACGCUGGCGGCGUGCCUAAUACAUGCAAGUCGAACGCAGUGGGGACGGGUGAGUAACACGUGGGUAACCUCCCAUCAGAGGGGAUAACACUUGGAAACAGGUGCUAAACCGAUACUGAUGGAAGGACCCGCGGUGCAUGAGCUAGUUGGUGAGGUAACGGCUCACCAAGGCCACGAUGCAUAGCCUACCGGCGUGGGUGCUCGGCCACUCUGGAUCUGACACCCGGCACAGACUCCUGCAAGAGGCACCAGUAGGGAAUCUUCGUCAAUGGUGGCGAGUCUUACCGACAAACGCCGCGUAGGUGAAGAAGGUUUUCGGAUCGUAAAACUCUGUUGUUGGAGAAGCGGUAUCUAACCAGAAAGCCACGGCUAACUACGUGCCAGCAACCGCGGUAAUAC
rnacentral:rRNA from 1 species